AAGAUAUAAGGGAAAACUUCAAAAAAUCCCCCUGUGGUUUCGAAGUUUCUCACUUUGCCCCCCUGUGGUUUAAAAUGUAUCAAUUUGCCCACCUGUGGUUUCGUUUUUAUUUUUUCGGUAGCUUUUUCGUUAAUAUUUUAUUAAAUUAUAUACAAAAAACUUCAGAUACCCAUCUAGAUUUAUUAAAUAUUCACUUUAGUACCCUUUAAUUUUAACUUUAUCAUUGAUUUAAGAAAAAAAAAAUAAUGAAAUUGAUAAGAAAAAGAAAAAAAAGAAACAACAGGGGGGAAAUUGAUACAUUUUAAACCACAGGGGGGCAAAGUGAGAAACUACGAAACCACAUAGGGGUUUUUGAAGUUUUCCCAAGAUAUCUAUUAAACAUAAUGAAUCCACAAUAUUUCUUGCCACGUGGCAAGAAAUCCUUCAUUCUUAGGUUAAUAAAUAAUAUCCAUCUCUUAUAUGAAUCCCCAAUAUAAAAUUCGUUUUUCUCCACUUCUAAAUGCUUAAUCCUUCACCUCUCCAUAUUUAAUUACAUGCAUUAUAUUCCACCAAUUAGUGAGCUUUGUAACUCCAAUCCACUCUCCUCCAUCAUUAAUCCUCACUUCUAAAUGCUAUGCUAAACCCUUCACCUCUCCACAUUUAAUCACAUUGUAUCAUAUUCUAUCAAUUAGUGAGCUUUGUAACUCCAAUCCAUUCCCCUUCACCAUUAAUCUCCACUUCUAAAUGCUCAACCCUUCACCUCUCCAUAUUUAAUUACAUGCAUUAUAUUUCACAAAUUAGUGAGCUUUGUAACUCCAAUCCACUCCCCUCCAAUUUGGAACUUCAAUUCCUUUACCUGGUAGAGAGAAAGAGAUU
rnacentral:lncRNA from 1 species